rnacentral:tRNA from 1 species
UCCGGAGUGCUCAAGCUGGUAUGAGGCCUGACUGUUAAUCAGGUGCAGCCCGUCUAGAACGGUACGCAGGUUCGAACCCUGCCUCCGGAGCCA